rnacentral:rRNA from 1 species
ACGAACGCUGGCGGGCGCGCCCUAACACAUGCAAGUCGAAACGAGAGGCUGUAGCAAUACAGCUGUACAGUGGCGAACGGGUGAGUAAUACAUGGGUGACCUACCCCUCGAGUGGGGGGAUAACCCGCCGAAAGGCGGGCUAAUACCGCAUGCGGUUCCGGGUUUCACGGACCCGGAAGGAAAGCUGCUCUGUGAGAGUGGCGCCUCUUUGGAUGGGCUCAUGUCCUAUCAGCUUGUUGGCGGGGGUAACGGCCCACCAAGGCUACGACGGGUUAGCUGGUCUGAGAGGACGAUCAGCCACACUGGCACUGCGACACGGGCCAGACUCCUACGGGAGGCAGCAGUGAGGAAUAUUGCGCAAUGGGCGAAAGCCUGACGCAGCGACGCCGCGUGGGGGAUGAAGGUCUUCGGAUUGUAAACCCCUUUCGGGAGGGGAAGAAUGGUUGCAUACAAGUGCAACGGACGGUACCUCCAGAAGCAGCCACGGCUAACUUCGUGCCAGCAGCCGCCGGGUAAUACGGAAAGGUGGCAAGCGUUGUUCGGAUUUACUGGGCGUACAGGGUGCGUAGGUGGUCGUGUAAGCCCCUCGGGAAAUCUCCAGGCUUAACCUGGAAAGGUCGGGGGGGACCUGCACGGCUAGAGGACGGGAGAGGAGCGCGGAAUUCCCGGUGUGUAGCGGUGAAAUGCGUAGAGAGAUCGGGGAGGAAGGCCCGGUGGCGAAGGCGGCGCUUCUGGAACGUUUCCUGACACUGAGGCACGAAAAGCGUGGGGAGCAAACAGGAUUAGAUACCCUGGUAGUCCCACGCCCUAAACGAUGGACACUAAGUGUCGGCGGGUUACCGCCGGUGCCGCAAGCUAACGCAGUAAAGUGUCCCGCCUGGGGAAGUACGGCCCGCAAGGUUUGAAACUCAAAGGAAUUGACGGGGGCCCGCAACAAGCGGUGGAGCAUGUGGGUUCAAUUCGGCGCAACGCGAAAGAACCUUACCCAGGCUGGACAAGCCAGGGUAGUAAGAGCCUGAAAGGGUAAUGAGGGUAGCAAUACCAUUCCUGCUCAGGUGCUGCAUGGCUGUCGUCAGCUCGUGGCCGUGAGGUGUUGGGUUAAGUCCCGCAACGAGAGCGCAACCCCUGCCUCUAGUUGCCAUCGGGUCAUGCCGGGCACUCUAGAGGGACUGCCCAGGGAGAACGGGGAGGAAGGUGGGGAUGACGUCAAGUCAGCAUGGCCUUUAUGCCUGGGGCUACACACGUGCUACAAUGACCGGUACAAAGGGCUGCAAACCCGCGAGGGGGGAGCCAAAUCCCAAAAAAACCGGCCCUCAGUUCAGAUUGGGGUCUGCAACUCGACCCACAUGAAGGCGGAAAUCGCUAGUAAUCCCGGAUCAGCACGCCCGGGGUGAAUACGUUCCCGGGCCUUGUACACACCCGCCCGUCACACCACGAAAGCCCGUUGUACCUGAAGUCCGCCGGAGGCCAACCCGCAAGGGAGGUAGGCGCCCACGGUAUGGCUGGUGAUUGGGGGU